UGUAGACGGCGUGAAAACGGAAACAACAAGUAUGCCUGCUCACUGUGCUGCAUACAAUUACACACUACGUCGUACGAUUGAGACAAGGAAACUUGGAAUGACUUUUCAUAGGUUUCCCAGAGACUAUGGGUUGAGGAGGAAUUGGAAGUUUGUCGGCUUAGACCUGGUGUCAUUCCAUCAGUGUUAAACUUCCCGGCUCAUCUUGGAAGAGUACGUGCCAGAAAGACCACGACCAAGCAGCCUUGAGAUCUUAGACAGCGUCUCCCUGAGACCAAAGAACUACAGACUCUUCACAACCUGCUCAAACUCUUGGUACAGGACCUCACCACACGGGUCAAGAAGGUUUCCAUCUCCUCAUUUCUACUCUGAAGCUCACUUUCUCCU
ensembl:lncRNA